CACACGGUAAACGAUGGAUACUAGGUGUAAUUGGAAUCGACCCCAGUUGUGCCGAAGCAAACGCGAUAAGUAUCCCGCCUGGGGAGUAUGGCCGCAAGGUUGAAACUCAAAGGAAUUGACGGGGGCCCGCACAAGCGGUGGAGGAUGUGGUUUAAUUCGACGCAACGCGAAGAACCUUACCAAGACUUGACAUCCACAGAAUUUGAUAGAGAUAUCGAAGUGCUCGAAAGAGAACUGUGAGACAGGUGG
rnacentral:rRNA from 1 species